rnacentral:rRNA from 1 species
UACAGAGGUCUCAAGCGUUGUUCGGAUUCAUUGGGCGUAAAGGGUGCGUAGGCGGCGCGGUAAGUCGGGUGUGAAAUCUUGGAGCUUAACUCCGAAACUGCAUUCGAUACUGGCGUGCUCGAGGACUGGAGAGGAGACUGGAAUUCAUGGUGUAGCAGUGAAAUGCGUAGAGAUCAUGAGGAAGACCAGUGGCGAAGGCGGGUCUCUGGACAGUUCCUGACACUGAGGCACGAAGGCCAGGGGAGCAAACGGG